rnacentral:rRNA from 1 species
AUUGAACGCUGGCGGCAGGCCUAACACAUGCAAGUCGAGCGAGCGGCGGACGGGUGAGUAAUGCCUGGGAAACUGCCAGAUGGAGGGGGAUAACUCCUGGAAACGGUAGCUAAUACCGCAUACCAUCGGAUGUGCCCAGAUGGGUUUAGCUAGGAGGUGGGGUAAAGGCUCACCUAGGGGACGAUCCCUAGCUGGUCUGGGAGGAUGACCAGCAACAUGGGAACUGAGGCACGGUCCAGACUCCUACGGGAGGCAGCAGUGGGGAAUAUUGCACAAUGGGGGCAGGCCUGUGGCAGCCAUGCCGGGUGUAUGAAGAGGGCCUUCGGGUUGUAAAGUACUUUCAGCGGGGAGGCGUUACCGGCAGAAGAAGCACCGGCUAACUCCGUGCCAGCAGCCGCGGUAAUUC